CGAUGAUCCCAGCUUGCUGGGGGAUUAGUGGCGAACGGGUGAGUAACACGUGAGUAACCUGCCCUUGACUCUGGGAUAAGCCUGGGAAACUGGGUCUAAUACCGGAUAUGACCUUCCAUCGCAUGGUGGUUGGUGGAAAGCUUUUGUGGUUUUGGAUGGACUCGCGGCCUAUCAGCUUGUUGGUGAGGUAAUGGCUUACCAAGGCGACGACGGGUAGCCGGCCUGAGAGGGUGACCGGCCACACUGGGACUGAGACACGGCCCAGACUCCUACGGGAGGCAGCAGUGGGGAAUAUUGCACAAUGGGCGCAAGCCUGAUGCAGCGACGCCGCGUGAGGGAUGACGGCCUUCGGGUUGUAAACCUCUUUCAGUAGGGAAGAAGCGUAAGUGACGGUACCUGCAGAAGAAGCGCCGGCUAACUACGUGCCAGCAGCCGCGGUAAUACGUAGGGCGCAAGCGUUAUCCGGAAUUAUUGGGCGUAAAGAGCUCGUAGGCGGUUUGUCGCGUCUGCCGUGAAAGUCCGGGGCUCAACUCCGGAUCUGCGGUGGGUACGGGCAGACUAGAGUGAUGUAGGGGAGACUGGAAUUCCUGGUGUAGCGGUGAAAUGCGCAGAUAUCAGGAGGAACACCGAUGGCGAAGGCAGGUCUCUGGGCAUUAACUGACGCUGAGGAGCGAAAGCAUGGGGAGCGAACAGGAUUAGAUACCCUGGUAGUCCAUGCCGUAAACGUUGGGCACUAGGUGUGGGGGAC
rnacentral:rRNA from 1 species